GCCGGGGUCGCCUAGCCUGGUAGGGCGCGCGCCUGGAAAUAAUUAACCAUAAAGCGCGUUCUCGCAAGGGAACGGGAGUUCAAAUCUCCCUCCCGGCG
rfam:Candidatus Nitrosoarchaeum koreensis MY1, whole genome shotgun sequence.